AACCCUAAAGAAACACCAUUUAUCACUGACCUCCACUUGGAUUUGGAAUGCAACUCAUGAGUGUGACCAUUCAGCCACGUUUUUUUAUCCACCAAGUGGCCCAUCUGUCACAUCCAUGUCUCUCCAGACUGGAAACAAGGAUGUAAUGUGCUUGAAUAGAGAAACUUUAAAGCCCUCUUCACCAGCUGGGCAAGCCUGUUACUGAGGAUGUUCUUCCCCUUGUCCCCUAUCAGCCCCCAGAGGAUGUCUUCUGUGUCUUAUUCUCUGGUGUGUC